rnacentral:rRNA from 1 species
UAGAGUUUGAUCAUGGCUCAGAUUGAACGCUGGCGGCAGGCUUAACACAUGCAAGUCGAACGGUAACAGGGAUUAGCUUGCUAAUUUGCUGACGAGUGGCGGACGGGUGAGUAAUGCUUGGGAAUCUAGCUUAUGGAGGGGGAUAACUACGGGAAACUGUAGCUAAUACCGCGUAAAAUCUUCGGAUUAAAGGGUGGGACUUUCGGGCCACCUGCCAUAAGAUGAGCCCAAGUGGGAUUAGGUAGUUGGUUAGGUAAAGGCUGACCAAGCCGACGAUCUCUAGCUGGUCUGAGAGGAUGACCAGCCACACUGGAACUGAGACACGGCCCAGACUCCUACGGGAGGCAGCAGUAGGGAAUCUUCGGCAAUGGGGGGAACCCUGACCGAGCAACGCCGCGUGAGUGAAGAAGGUUUUCGGAUCGUAAAGCUCUGUUGUAAGANAAGANCGAGUGUGANAGUGGAAAGUUCACACUGUGACGGUNUCUUACCAGAAAGGGACGCUACUACGUGCCAGCAGCCNCGNUAAACGUAGGUCCCGAGCGUAUCCGGAUUUNUUGGGCGUAANCNAGCCCAGCGNUUAGAUAGUCUNAGUAAAGCUUGCUUACCAUAGUACCUUUGNAACUGUUACUUGGUCNGAAGGGA